UACGUAGGGGGCUAGCGUUGUCCGGAAUCAUUGGGCGUAAAGAGCGUGUAGGCGGCCCGGUAAGUCCGCUGUAAAAGUCAAAGGCUCAACCUUUGAAUGCCGAUGGAUACUGUCGGGCUAGAGUCCGGAAGAGGCGAGUGGAAUUCCUGGUGUAGCGGUGGAAUGCGCAGAUAUCAGGAGGAACACCAAUAGCGAAGGCAGCUCGCUGGGACGGUACUGACGCUAAGGCGCGAAAGCGUGGGGAGCGAACAGG
rnacentral:rRNA from 1 species